GACGAACGCUGGCGGCGUGCUUAACACAUGCAAGUCGAACGGUAAGGCCCUGCUUUUGUGGGGUGCUCGAGUGGCGAACGGGUGAGUAACACGUGAGUAACCUGCCCUUGACUUUGGGAUAACUUCAGGCAACUGGGGCUAAUACCGGAUAGGCGCUCCUGCUGCAUGGGGGGGGUUGGAAAUGUUCGGCGGUUGGGGAUGGACUCGCGGCUUUUCAGCUUGUUGGUGGGGUAGUGGAUGACCAAGGCUUUGACGGGUCGCCGACCUGAGAGGGUGACCGGCCACAUUGGGACUGAGAUACGGCCCAGAGUCCGACGGGAGGCAGCAGUGGGGAAUAUUGCACAAUGGGCGGAAGCCUGAUGCAGCAACGCCGCGUGCGGGGUGACGGCCUUCGGGUUGUAAACCGCUUUCGCCUGUGACGAAGCGUGAGUGACGGUAAUGGGUAAAGAAGCACCGGCUAACUACGUGCCAGCCGCCGCGGUAA
rnacentral:rRNA from 1 species